UACGUAGGGGACAAGCGUUGUCCGGAUUUACUGGGCGUAAAGAGCGCGCAGGCGGCCGUUCAAGUCGAGUGUGAAAGCCCCCGGCUCAACUGGGGAGGGUCAUUCGAUACUGAUCGACUCGAAGGCAGGAGAGGGAAGUGGAAUUCCCGGUGUAGUGGUGAAAUGCGUAGAUAUCGGGAGGAACACCAGUGGCGAAGGCGACUUCCUGGCCUGUUCUUGACGCUGAGGCGCGAAAGCUAGGGGAGCAAACGGG
rnacentral:rRNA from 1 species